CAGCCGUAAACAAUGUGCGUUAGGUAUGUCGGUAACCACGUGUUACUGAUGUGCCGAAGAGAAAUCGUGAAACGCACCACCUGGGAAGUACGGUCGCAAGGCUGAAACUUAAAGGAAUUGGCGGGGGAGCACCACAACAGGUGGAGCCUGCGGUUUAAUUGGAUUCAACACCGUAAACUCACCAGGGAAGACUGUUACAUGAAGGCCGAGAUGAAGACUCUGCUAGAUUUUCAGAGAGGUGGUGCAUGGCGUCAGUGACU
rnacentral:rRNA from 1 species